GUGCUUGCUUCAGUAGCGCACAUACUAAAAUUGGAACAAUACAGAGAUUAGCAUGGCCGCUGUUUAAAAAUUAAAUUAAAAAAAAUUGGGCACAGUGGCU
ensembl:snRNA U6 U6 spliceosomal RNA